UCGACUUAAUUUAUCCCACAGAGAAGGAAAGCAAGAUAUUAUUUUUCAGGAGAGUACUCCAGUAGAGAAUCAAUAAGAAGAUCAUGGCAGGGGCAGUUAAAUGCAUAGACAUCUUGAUAGCCAUCAUCUUGCCCCCUCUUGGUGUCUUCCUCAGGUUUGGCUGCGGGGUGGAGUUUUGGAUCUGCUUGCUCCUCACCAUCUUAGGCUACAUCCCUGGAAUUAUUUAUGCUGUCUACGCCAUCACCAAGUGAAGAUCCUUGAUCUCACCAUCUUAAUAUCUCUGCUGCGAGCACCUGCACCGCACCCCCAAAAGCCGUUUCUUUCUCUCUGUUCCUGUAAAUUUAAAGGGCUGUAAAGUAUUUGCGAAAAUAAAGGAUAUAUAUAUGUAUACAUAUUAUAUCAUGACUGUUAAUUUUU